GACGAACGCUGGCGGCGUGCUUAACACAUGCAAGUCGAACGGAAAGGCCCUGCUUUUGUGGGGUGCUCGAGUGGCGAACGGGUGAGUAACACGUGAGUAACCUGCCCUUGACUUUGGGAUAACUUCAGGAAACUGGGGCUAAUACCGGCUAGGAGCUCCUGCUGCAUGGUGGGGGUUGGAAAGUUUCGGCGGUUGGGGAUGGACUCGCGGCUUAUCAGCUUGUUGGUGGGGUAGUGGCUUACCAAGGCUUUGACGGGUAGCCGGCCUGAGAGGGUGACCGGCCACAUUGGGACUGAGAUACGGCCCAGACUCCUACGGGAGGCAGGAGUGGGGAAUAUUGCACAAUGGGCGGAAGCCUGAUGCAGCAACGCCGCGUGCGGGAUGACGGCCUUCGGGUUGUAAACCGCUUUCGCCUGUGACGAAGCGUGAGUGACGGUAAUGGGUAGAGAAGCACCGGCUAACUACGUG
rnacentral:rRNA from 1 species